UACGUAGGGUCCGAGCGUUGUCCGGAAUUAUUGGGCGUAAAGAGCUCGCAGGCGGUUUGUCGCGUCUGCUGUGAAAUCCCGAGGCUCAACCGCGGGCCUGCAGUGGGUACGGGCAGACUGGAGUGCGGUAGGGGAGAAUGGAAUUCCUGGUGUAGCGGUGGAAUGCGCAGAUAUCAGGAGGAACACCGAUGGCGAAGGCAGUUCUCUGGGCCGUAACUGACGCUGAGGAGCGAAAGCGUGGGGAGCGAACAGG
rnacentral:rRNA from 1 species